rnacentral:lncRNA from 1 species
AGUGCGCGAUGGCGGGGAGGAACCUGUACAUGAGAUUCAGCUGCAGCACAGGGGACGCCAUGGGGAUGAACAUGGUCUCAAAGGGCGUGCAGAACGUGCUGGAUUUUCUUCAGGAUGACUUCCAUGACAUGGAUGUCAUUAGCAUAUCUGGUUCAUCUUGCUCUCUCGGUUUUUGGUAAAGUUGAAUUACCUCAGUUUACUGAGUCACGUAGUGGCUGCUUAGUGUACUGAACUUUCAGAGCAUUCUUCUACCAUUAAAAAACUAAAAUGGAUUCCCACGUCAAGCGUUAUCUUAUUUGAAUCCUGACCAUACGCCCAUUCUAAGGAGUCUUCAAUGAACAAUAAGUAUGAGAGACCUAUUGGCAGUUUAAAUACCCAGCACUAUUUGUUCUAUACUUCUAUUGAAUCAUUGAGGGAAGCUUGGGGACAAAAAGGUGGAUUGUUGAAUAUAACUGCACCUGUUUAAAUUUAGUUGGUCAGUGAACCAGUGUGGCAUGGUCUAUGAAGUUUUAAGGACUCCAUCACUUUGCUACGCACUAUGGUUUCAGGAAGGAAAAAAAUGGCUUAUUUUUUCAUACAAGAUACCAGACAACACCCUUAGUAUUUUGUAAUACAACAAUACUGCACAUAAACCAAGACUGACUUCAACUUAUACUUAUUAUAAGUAGUUACGACUAGGUUUUCUUGGACAUCAUCCAUACUACUAAAACGAUCAGGAGACGGCAGACCAACUACAAAAAAAAAACCAAGAGGAGACGGCACACCAACUACCAAAAAAAAAACUAGAAAGAACAUUUCAAGUAGAAACAUCAGUGCUUCUUUUACACAAGCAACAAGGCCAGUGCUUUUACAAAAAACAAAAAAAAAGCAUGGAAUAUUUGACUGUACUAUUAAACACCUGGUUACAUCAGAGUAAUCAUGUUAGAUUACAAGAAACAGUAUUUCAAGGCGGCGAGUUGCUGCCACUUGCCCACUACUCUGUUUACUCAAGUUAGUAGCUUUGGUGUUCCAUGAAAAUGUCUUCGGUGACUCUUUCUGAACCUGGUCAAAACCGAUCCCAUCAGCAUAAUUUUGUGCAUCGAAUGACUGUACAACUGGAGACGCAAGAUCCUACAGCAACGUAUUCUGUACAUACAUUCCUGCAACUUUCCCAAGCUAACCAGCAUCUCCGCCUCCUGAAACCAGGCAACUUCUGCUCCGACAAGAAGCCGUCCGCCGUGAACUGGAUCGAGGGGCGCGGGAAGUCCGUGGUGUGCGAGGCCGUGAUCGGGGAGGAAGUGGUGAAGAAGGUCCUGAAGACCGACGUGCAAUCGCUGGUCGAGCUGAAC